rnacentral:tRNA from 1 species
GGGGCCGUAGCUCAGCUGGGAGAGCGUCGCGUUCGCAAUGCGAAGGUCACCGGUUCGAUCCCGGUCGGCUCCACCA